rnacentral:lncRNA from 1 species
UCAAAAAGACCGCGCUAGAUGAACCAAAACAAACAUUUUGAAACGGGUAGUAUCAAAUCAAUGACGCAAUGUUUGUUGAUUUUUGUUGAGGUUCUAAAGGUUGGAGCUUUCAGCGCUUCGUGUGCUUUCAGUAAUUCAAACAUUUCAAUCAUUAUCUUUGAGGAUCUGUUAUCAGUGAAACCAUGUGAUUGAACUUAAACUUUUUUAAUCUCGCAUCCUUUUCUUGAUGAAGAUUUCUUUGUGAUCGUGUAGUGAGCGUUAUCACUGUUAUCGUAGUUUGACCAGUUUGGCUUAUAAAAAGCACUAUACAGUUUCCUUGGAAAAUGCCGAAUAACGUUUCCAAAAGAAAUUCACGGUCUGGCAAAUCGAAAACGGGGCAGUAUUCCUAUUCUCAAUCCACUUUACCAGUCCCUGGCUCCGUCAAAAAUUUUUUUGAAGUCAGCGGUCAUGCUUUCAUUGAGUUAUCAACAAAUCAAAGACUUAGUAAAAUCAAUAAAUCACUGAAGCUACCAGUCUUAAACCCUGCCAGUAUUUCAAGAACGCAAACAUUUCUUGGAGCCGCUACCAUCAAGUCAUCUGUCUCAACUUGUCAAACGGAACGAAGAGAAUUAGUUGACAGUAACAGCGUUAAAUCAGAGACCAACUCUCAACCAUCUUUUAUUCGUAGUUUGUCAGCAUCUGAGUCAGAAUCCUGGUCUGAUGACUUAGAAAAUGAAGCAACUGCUCACUUACUCGCCAAUUUGACACAUAUAGACGAUGUGUUGUAUUGCACUUCACCAGUUACAAGUAACCAAGAACUAUUUCACGAGAUCAAGCUAUGGCAAAGCCGUUUUCCUUUUUUAAGGGUGGUUGGCAAAAAAGUGAAGAUACUGGACAACAGUACCAACAUCAACCAAGAAACCAAUAGAGAGAAAGAAGAAAUCAUUUUCAAUGACGCUAAUCUCACUAGUACUGACCUUGAACCAGUAACAUCCAACUCAGGGAAUAUUGUACACCUGAAAAAGCAACUGAGAAGGUCCGUGAUAGAUCAUCUGACAACUCACUUCAUUUAUGCCAUGAAAGAUGAAAUAAUUCAGUGUUCGAAACAUAAAAUCUGUAAACCAGCAUCCAAAGUAAAUAAAGCUCCAAAUAAAAUGUCUGACAUUAAUGACAAUAGUCUGCGAGUACAUGAUUUGGAUAACAUUUUGAAUAUUUCACCAAUAUCACUCAAGGCAACAGGGCCAAAAUCAAAUUACUUAUCUUCGUUUUCAACCAAUAGAGUGAGAAAUUCACAGGUAAAAUCCUCUGUUAGUCAACCAAUCCAUCUUCGCAUGGAGCAGAGAACAUCGACCAAAAUCACUCAACAACCCUUCAGAAAUGCAACCGAUAAUGUGAAAAUCAGUAUCGUGGCAAAUUUAAGCAGAACUUCCAAGCCUGCCAAAAAGUCUCUCGAACUGAAAUUGAGGAAGGACAACCUGAAGACCUCCAAAAAUAUCGAAUCAUCAACUUCAAAUCGAUCUCGUUUUUGUACCCUGCCACCGUUGAAAACUCCUGGACUUCGCCCUACCUCAGCUGUAUACAGUAGCUUCAAAAAGCUUCCCAGCGAUUCUAGACCAACGUCAUCUUUCAUCCUUGCUCCUUCAUCGCUAAUGAAUGAAUCUUCGGAAAACGAUUUAUCUUUAUGAACUGAAGAAAUUCAAACACUUUUGAGGUAAAAAAAUCCCUGUAACUUGUAAUAGCAUCCAUGUAAUUGCUCUUAGUCUUCCUAUUUUGAAGUCAUAGCAUUUUUCCUAGGGAGGAACAAAACUUCUUGAGAUCGCCGAAAAAAUGAACUUUCUGCUGGACAUUAAUUCAAACGCUGUUUUAAACCAGUCCUACUGAAAAGCUGAAAAUUGGCAUUUUUAAUGAACCCACCGCAAUGUGUGUUCCUUCAUUAGUCUACAAAGGAAAAAACAAAGAAUCUAUUUUUCUGUAAUAUUCUGUGUGUGAGGAAAACCUACACACAUAAAAAAGUCUGGGAAUGUACGGUGGGAUUAGCCAGGGAAUUCCACAAGCAGUAUGUCGGCACAACAACAGCAGGUAGCAUUCAAGAAAGUGCAAACAACUUACAAGUGCCUUUUCGAUGAUUUUAUUCUCCAGAAGUGGAAAUUUUGUCCUAAGUUUAGCAAAAGUCAUCGCAACUGAAAGGAUAAACCUAAGUGGUAGUUUUGUAAAAAGGUCUAGAAAAGUCAAAGGAUUUGGAAGUUUUGAAGUCAGGUAAAGUGAA